GAGCCGUUACCGAAUCACUGCUAACAAAAUAAUAGGGGUUGUGAAGUCAUAUAAGCGCGCCAACUUUUGGUUCGAUGUAGAAGCAUUGCUGCGUACCAAAUGUGCUGCGAAUUGGGAGUCUUGGAGAGCCAUCCCCUAUGAGCUAAAAAUGCACAUGAUUGAUAAGUUAGUUGUAUGUGUUAAUUUCAUUAGUUAAAUAAUAAUUAUGUUUGUUAAAUAUAAUAUAAUAGUGAGAUUUUAAUUUAUUAAUUUUUGUAUGAUAGCCUAAUUGGGACAUUGACAAAAGUUACCCAAAUCUGAUGAAGGCUAUCGACAAUGCGUUCAAGUCAAGAUUCCGGGAGUGGAAGUUGGAUAACG
rnacentral:lncRNA from 1 species